AGCCUAGUGGCCUAGUGGUUAAGGCUAUGGACCGCCAAUCCGGAGACGGCGGGUUCGAUUCCCGUUCCGGUCU
rnacentral:tRNA from 1 species